GCUGGUAUUGCGUGGGAAAUAGUUGCGGAAGAUGAACCCGCGGCACUGAUCGAUCGCGUGAAACAACGGAUUCCAGGCAAACAUCGACAACAUGAAGCCGCCCAGCGCGUUGGCCACGAACAUCUUGCCGGAAAACACCAUGUUCAUGCGCCG
rnacentral:ncRNA from 1 species